GCUGACAAAGGAGCUGUGUGGGGUUGGCGACCCAGCCCAGCUCCCCGUGAUGGGGGUUUGGGGUCCCCAGGCCAGCUGCUCCUUGGUGAACCCCAGGAAAGCCCCGUGGCCUGUCAGCAAGACUUGUGAUGAUAGGGGCAGGGAGGGGGAUCAACAGCAGCCCCAGCGCCUGGGAAGGGGUUGUCAUCAUCUGCUUUGUAGACAGGACACCGAGGCUGAGGGGAAGGGACCCCACAUUCCCGUGGGCUGCAGGGGGUAAGGGGAGGGUCUCCUGCCUCUCACUCAAGUGCCUUCUUGCUUUGUGCACAGCUGGGGGUGGGGCAGGGAAGCUUGCUCAAGGAGACGGGCCAGGACCUACGGUCAGAAGCAUGGCCUCCUCCAUCCUCACAACACCUCACCUUCUUAUCCCCAUUUUGCAGGUCUGAAGACUGAGGCCCGGAGUGGUAUGACCCGACCAGCCUGAGGCUGCACACCCAGGAGCCGGGAUCCAAGCUUCCUCCCCAUCCAGUGGUGUAGGGGCGCCCUGAUUGACUCGCCUGCGUGGAGACUUCUCACGCUGUACCUGGUCUCCGGCCGGCUCUGUGCACGCUGCUCACCCAGCUUAAUUGAGUGUGUCUCUGCCUCGCUGCUCUAACCAGCCACAAGGCACUCCCUGCCCAUGACUCUUCACCGUCCUGUGUGUCCAUGUCUCCGGGAGCAGAGAUCUCAGAGGGCGAGCUUGACUGUGGGGAGAGGGGGACACAUGGAUGUUUUUGAUGGAUAUUCCAAAUUGCUUUCUGAAAAGCCUAUAAAAAAUCAUGC